GACGAACGCUGGCGGCGUGCUUAACACAUGCAAGUCGAACGAGGCCCUCCUUCGGGAGGUGUCCUAGUGGCGAACGGGUGAGUAACACGUGGGCAACCUGCCCUCAGCUCUGGGAUAACCCCAAGAAAUUGGGGCUAAUACCGGAUAUGACCGCUGACCGCAUGGUCGGUGGUGGAAAGUUUUUCGGCUGAGGAUGGGCCCGCGGCCUAUCAGCUUGUUGGUGGGGUAGUGGCCUACCAAGGCGACGACGGGUAGCCGGCCUGAGAGGGUGACCGGCCACACUGGGACUGAGACACGGCCCAGACUCCUACGGGAGGCAGCAGUGGGGAAUAUUGCGCAAUGGGCGAAAGCCUGACGCAGCGACGCCGCGUGAGGGAUGACGGCCUUCGGGUUGUAAACCUCUUUCAGCAGGGACGAAGCGCAUGUGACGGUACCUGCAGAAGAAGCACCGGCCAACUACGUGCCAGCCGCCGCAGUAAAAC
rnacentral:rRNA from 1 species